rnacentral:rRNA from 1 species
UUCGCAAUGCCCGAAAGGGUGACGAAGCGACGCCACGUGUGGGAAGAAGGCCUUCGGGUUGUAAACCACUGUCGGGAGUUAAGAAAUGCAAGGAUAUUAAUAGUGUCUUUGUUUGACUAAGGCUCCGGAGGAAGCCACGGCUAACUCUGUGCCAGCAGCCGCGGUAAUACAGAGGCGGCAAGCGUUGUUCGGAAUUAUUGGGCGUAAAGAGCACGUAGGCGGCUAUGUAAGUCGGUUGUGAAAGCCUUCCGCUCAACGGAAGAACAGCAUCCGAUACUACAUGGCUUGAGUGCGGGAGGGGAGAGUGGAACUUCUGGUGGAGCGGUGAAAUGCGUAGAUAUCAGAAGGAACGCCGGCGGCGAAAGCGGCUCUCUGGCCCAUAACUGACGCUGAGUGUGCGAAAGCUAGGGGAGCAAACGGGAUUAGAUACCCCGGUAGUCCUAGCCGUAAACGAUGGGCACUAAGUAGAGGGGUUUU